AGAGUUUGAUCCUGGCUCAGGACGAACGCUGACGGUGUGCUUUAGGCAUGCAAGUCGAACGAGAAAGCCCUUCGGGGUGAGUAGAGUGGCGAACGGGUGAGUAACACGUGGGCAACCUGCCCCUCGCAGGGGGAUAACCGGAGGAAACUCCGGCUAAUACCCCGUAAGCUUUCAGGGUCGCAUGGCUCUGUAAGGAAAGGUAGCUUCGGCCAUCCGGCGAGGGAUGGGCCCGCGGUGCAUUAGCUAGUUGGUGGGGUAAUGGCCCACCAAGGCGACGAUGCGUAGCUGGUCUGAGAGGAUGAUCAGCCACACUGGGACUGAGACACGGCCCAGACUCCUACGGGAGGCAGCAGCCAGGAAUCUUGGGCAAUGGGCGAAAGCCAGACCCAGCAACACCGUGUGGGCGAUGAAGGCCUUCGGGUCGUAAAGCCCUGUUGAUAGGGACGAAGGGCGAAGGGUUAAUAGCCCCUAGCCUGACGGUACCUUUCGAGGAAGCCCCGGCUAACUACGUGCCAGCAGCGGCGGUAAUUC
rnacentral:rRNA from 1 species